AGGCACUUUCAUUUGACGUCACGCGUCUCGCCAGGUACAGAAGUCCAUUGUACAGAAUGAAAACAACUGUUGCAUAAACUUCGUUAAAUAAAGGGAGGCUGAUCGUUUGUGCAGACGGAUUUACAUUCAGGUUUAUAAUGGCAGAGAAACCUCAGUUAGUUAAUAAUUUGCCUGAGGAUGUUGAGACUGAUGAGUGUAUGAACAAAUACACACACAUCUACAGCCCUGAUCUGCUCAGUGAUCAAGUAGCCUUCAUAACCGGUGGAGGGUCAGGUAUUGGAUUUCGGAUAGCAGAAGUUCUGAUGAGGCAUGGCUGUGACACAGUCAUCGCUAGCCGAAAUCUGGAGAAGAUCUCUCAGGCAGCAAAGAAGUUAACCAGCACCACAGGCAGGCGGUGUUUGCCGAUCGCUAUGGAUGUUCGUCAACCAGAGACAAUUUUGGCUGCUGUGGAUGAGACCUUGAAGACAUUCGGACGAGUUGACAUUCUUAUUAACAAUGCUGCAGGUAAUUUCUUGUGUCCGGCUACAUCUUUAUCAUUUAACGCUUUCAAGACUGUAAUGGAGAUCGACACCAUGGGAACUUUCAACACUAGUAAAGUCAUCUAUGACAAAUGGUUCAAGGAUCAUGGCGGCUCCAUUGUCAACAUUUCCGCCACUCUGGGGUACAGAGGUCAGGCUCUCCAGGUGCAUGCUGGCUCAGCAAAGGCUGCUAACGAUGCCAUGACGAGGCAUUUAGCGGUGGAGUGGGGCCCCAGCGGUGUGAGGGUGAACACCGUGGCUCCAGGGCCCAUCUCUGGCACAGAGGGAUACCGCAGACUGGGUGGUUCACAUGCUGAGACCGCAGGCGCUUUCCACAGCAUCCCGUUACAAAGAGCUGGAAACAAGACGGAGAUGGCGCACGCGGUUUUAUUCUUGGCCAGCCGCGCCUCCUCGUACGUCACUGGCUCUGUAUUGGUCGCCGACGGAGGGGCGUGGCUUACUUCAGCCAAUGACGUGGAGCGGCUGUUGGGUAUUGUCUCAUCUCGCUCUGCAAAACUAUGAACAGACUGCACCGCACACAGGUGUGUGUGUGUGUGUCUGUGUGUGCGUAAGGUUUUUGGAUGGCAGAAAAAAGAAAGGAUAAAUAGCAAGAGGAUGAAAAAAAUGCAAUGAAUCUGCUGAAGUACAUUUGAAUGAGAAUUGUUGAAACGCGGGUUAUUCUUCACCCCAAAAUCAAGGAAAAGAAGUGAUGAUGAUCUGCUUAAAAACUAAUUUUUAAACAAACAUAUUAUUUUGUGACACUUUUUUUAUUAUAAAUGAGCACAAUGUCACCCAAAAUUCCUAACAAGACUUAAAAAUGCUUUUUACUUUUGACAAAAAAACAAAAGUGUCAAGAAAAGUUAGUUUUCAUUCCUUUUCCACAGUUAUGGUAGUUAGAAUAAGUUUCCUUUGUCUCAUUACUGUAAUGAAUGAUUUUUCCCUUCAGAAUAUGAGGUGAAAUAUGACUUGAACAGAUUGUUAUAACCCUUGUGUCGUCUUAACUGUUGUUAGACAUUUCUAGCAAAUUAUUCACGAAAGGUUUAGCAAUUAUAUUAGAUUAAAAUAUCCACUUAUAGCAGCAUUAAUAUAAAUAAACCUUCAACACUACAUAACUUAGUGCUGUUUUCUAAAUUUUAACUGUUUUAUAUUCACAGACUGUGCUCCAUGAAGACAUUUGGUCAAUUUCCUAGAGUAAAUAUAUAAAAACUCACACUUUAAAGACGAUUUUCUCAGAUUUUGCAUCAUUUUGAACGUCAGAUACAUGUUUUUCAAACAAAAGUGCAAACAUUUGUAUUUCUAUUGUAUUUUACAUAACAGUUUUCAUAAUAAAUCAUUUAUAAUAAUUACCAAUA